rnacentral:rRNA from 1 species
GUAAACCUCUUUUAGCAGGGAAGAAGCGAAAGUGACGGUACCUGCAGAAAAAGCACCGGCUAACUACGUGCCAGCAGCCGCGGUAAUACGUAGGGUGCAAGCGUUAUCCGGAAUUAUUGGGCGUAAAGAGCUCGUAGGCGGUUUGUCGCGUCUGCUGUGAAAACUGGGGGCUCAACCCCCAGCCUGCAGUGGGUACGGGCAGACUAGAGUGCGGUAGGGGAGAUUGGAAUUCCUGGUGUAGCGGUGGAAUGCGCAGAUAUCAGGAGGAACACCGAUGGCGAAGGCAGAUCUCUGGGCCGUAACUGACGCUGAGGAGCGAAAGGGUGGGGAGCAAACAGGCUUAGAUACCCUGGUAGUCCACCCCGUAAACGUUGGGAACUAGUUGUGGGGUCCAUUCCACGGAUUCCGUGACGCAGCUAACGCAUUAAGUUCCCCGCCUGGGGAGUACGGCCGCAAGGCUAAAACUCAAAGGAAUUGACGGAA